UACGGAGGGUGCGAGCGUUGUCCGGAAUUAUUGGGCGUAAAGAGCUCGUAGGCGGUUUGUCGCGUCUGCUGUGAAAACCCGAGGCUCAACCUCGGGCCUGCAGUGGGUACGGGCAGACUAGAGUGCGGUAGGGGAGAUUGGAAUUCCUGGUGUAGCGGUGGAAUGCGCAGAUAUCAGGAGGAACACCAAUGGCGAAGGCGGGUCUCUGGGCAGUAACUGACGCUGAGGAGCGAAAGCGUGGGGAGCGAACAGG
rnacentral:rRNA from 1 species